rnacentral:rRNA from 1 species
AUACGAAAGGGGCUAGCGUUGUUCGGAAUUACUGGGCGUAAAGCGCACGUAGGCGGCAUUGUAAGUUGGGGGUGAAAUCCCGGAGCUCAACUCCGGAACUGCCUCCAAAACUACAAAGCUCGAGGAUGUGAGAGGGGAGUGGAAUUCCAAGUGUAGAGGUGAAAUUCGUAGAUAUUUGGAAGAACACCAGUGGCGAAGGCGACUCUCUGGCACAUUUCUGACGCUGAGGUGCGAAAGCGUGGGGAGCAAACAGGAUUAGAAACCCUAGUAGUCC